rnacentral:rRNA from 1 species
UGGGGAAUAUUGGGCAAUGGGCGGAAGCCUGACCCAGCGACGCCGCGUGGGGGAAGAAGUCUUUCGGGAUGUAAACCCUUGUUGUACGGGACGACGGAAGUGACGGUACCGUACGAGGAAGCCCCGGCAAACUACGUGCCAGCAGCCGCGGUAAUACGUAGGGGGCGAGCGUUGUCCGGAAUCACUGGGCGUAAAGCGCACGUAGGCGGGCUGUCCAGUCGGCCGUGACAGGCACGGGCUCCACCUGUGCAUGUCGGUCGAUACUGGCGGUCUGGAGUAUGGGAGAGGGAACUGGAAUUCCCGGUGUAGCGGUGAAAUGCGUAGAUAGCGGGAGGAACACCAGUGGGGAAGGCGGGUUCCUGGCCCAUGACUGACGCUGAGGUGCGAAAGCCGGGGGAGCGAACG